AAUUUUAAGAAUUUACAGUAUUUUGCUGAUUCAUUUUGAUUAUCUGCUCUUGAUUUAAAUAUAACCAAUUCAGAAUCAUUUUUGAACUGUUCUAUUUUGAGGUAGCACUAUGGUUUUUUACAGUUUUGAACAAGCUAAGCAAUUACAACUGCUUUUAUCUAAAUAAAAAUUUUAAUUAAUAUUUUAGGGUGAUCAUCUACUAGUAGAAUGCAUGACAUCAUUUUUUUUUUGUUUUAAAUAUCCUUAAGAAUAUAUGAAAAUAAAUAUGGAAGUCAGUUUUUAGUUUAGACAGAAUGUUAAAAGUUUUCUUUGCCUGAAUUUUCCAUGCAGUUCAUUUUAUUAUGAAAAGUAAAAGGCACACAAUAAGAAAAACUCAAUUUGUACAUAUUCUAUUUAUCACAACCACUUUUCAUUACUAAUCCAUAGUCUAAAUAAUGUACAUAUUACAAUGCCCAUUUCAGCCAAAAAAAAUUCAGUUUGAAGUAAAAAUACCUCUCUCUACUUUUAAU
rnacentral:lncRNA from 1 species